GAAAAAGACAGAUUUUGCUUCAAACAGGAAUAGAUAUACCACAGGCCAGGCCCACUGAAGAAGUUAAAAAAAUAACAAUAACAUCUCACAUCCAGAAUUGUCAAUCAACUACUUCUGCACCAAGUUUCCUAGUAAGAUAAUUCUCUUUUUGGUGAAGUCCUAAUUCAAAAUUACACAUAACAGUGAACAUGGAAAUGAAAGAAAAUGAAAGGACUUCAAUCUGCCUAACCAAUUUCAUUACAUGGCCAGUAUCUAGAGUGAGGAUCAAAUGAGCCAGGAACAUGCUGUUGUUGCGAGACAAGAUAGUGUGGAAAGCAAUCCACUGUCCAAGUGCUGUUGCCCGGGUGCUAAAACGUCUGGAAUCACUAACAGAUGCCAUAGACAAGGCACAUAAACGAAUGUCAAGAGUCCUUCUCCUCACUGUAGAAGUUGGACUGACGUCCAUUAACGAUUUCGUCUGUUGCGGUCUCGGUCUGUUGUUUUGUGUGGUGCUGCGGUGGUGGCUUUUUUUGGUGAAGACUAAAGACGAGAUAUAAAUUUGGAGGGGAGACUAUUACGAAAAAAUGUGAAAGGUGCAUGAAGCCAGUACUGUCAACUAUUGUGUUGGUAUCCUACAGAAUAUGUCAUCCAAAUGACAGAGAGUGGAUUCAUCACUAUUAUCGGCUGAAUCAUUCUAUGAGACUUGCCAGAUUGCAACCCAAGCAUGGACCAAUUUCUUAUUCCAUCUUCUAGAGAACCUUACAUAACCGAUUGGUGGUUUAGUGUGUUUUAGGUUUCUAAUGUAGCAUGAUAGACUUUAUGAGAAGUCAUGUUGUUUGAAGAAAAAGGACUAUACAGUCGACAAGGUUCUUUGGUAACCCGUUGGCUGCUACCCUUGAAUCUCCCUGUUUACUUCCUUACACGGGUCCACUUGAUUUGAGGGUAAUCCUUCGCUACUGAUCACACCCACGCUGGUGAAAACCGACGAGAGAAUG